rnacentral:rRNA from 1 species
UCCCAGACUCCUACGGGAGGCAGCAGUGGGGAAUAUUGCACAAUGGGGGAAACCCUGAUGCAGCGACGCCGCGUGAGCGAUGAAGUAUUUCGGUAUGUAAAGCUCUAUCAGCAGGGAAGAAGAUGACGGUACCUGACUAAGAAGCCCCGGCUAACUACGUGCCAGCAGCCGCGGUAAUACGUAGGGGGCAAGCGUUAUCCGGAUUUACUGGGUGUAAAGGGAGCGUAGACGGCAGUGCAAGUCUGGAGUGAAAGGCGGGGGCUCAACCCCCGGACUGCUCUGGAAACUGUACGGCUGGAGUGCAGGAGGGGCAGGCGGAAUUCCUGGUGUAGCGGUGAAAUGCGUAGAUAUCAGGAGGAACACCGGUGGCGAAGGCGGCCUGCUGGACUGCAACUGACGUUGAGGCCCGAAAGCGUGGGGAGCAAACAGGAUUAGAUACCCCUGUA